GCAGUGCCAGAACACAUGCAAGCACGUAACUGGGGCCGAGGGCUCCCCGCCGGUGGCCCUUUUAACUGCUGGUGACAGGG